rnacentral:lncRNA from 1 species
CUUACUUUCCCCUCUGUUCUGUAUGCUGUCUGAUCCCCUGAUUAUCCCUUCUAGUAGAACAGCAGAGAAGUGUGUGGACUUGGAGUCCCAGACCAGGAGCUGGUAGAGAAGAACCUAGUGUUCCAGUGUGCUAGACAAUUUCCUGGAGCAAGACUAACAAGAUCAAGGCCCCAUCAUUGCGAUACUUUGGCAGGAAAAUGGGAACAAGGGGCUGAUGACCUACAGAACUUUCUGGAAGUCAGGAUGGAAUGGGGAAAACUCCUCAGACAAAACAGGACUUCUCUAAGAUGGGCCUCAAGGGAUAGUACAAGGCAUGUAACUGCUGAAGGAAUGACAUUCCAACUGUUAAACCUCUUCCUCCAUGAUAAGUCAAAGCAACUUCUCUACUUUUAGGCUAGUUUCUAUAACUCACCGGAACUAUUCCAUAACAUGCUUCUGUUCAGAUCAAUGAACUCACUUGAGC